UCCAGCUGCUAACCGCGAGUGAUCCGCCA
rnacentral:piRNA from 1 species